AUUGAACGCUGGCGGAAUGCUUUACACAUGCAAGUCGAACGGCAGCACGGACUUCGGUCUGGUGGCGAGUGGCGAACGGGUGAGUAAUACAUCGGAAUGUGCCCAAUCGUGGGGGAUAACGUAGCGAAAGCUACGCUAAUACCGCAUACGAUCUAAGGAUGAAAGCGGGGGAUCGCAAGACCUCGCGCGAUUGGAGCGGCCGAUGGCAGAUUAGGUAGUUGGUAGGGUAAAGGCCUACCAAGCCGACGAUCUGUAGCUGGUCUGAGAGGAUGAUCAGCCACACUGGGACUGAGACACGGCCCAGACUCCUACGGGAGGCAGCAGUGGGGAAUUUUGGACAAUGGACGCAAGUCUGAUCCAGCCAUUCCGCGUGCAGGAUGAAGGCCCUCGGGUUGUAAACUGCUUUUGUACAGAACGAAAAGGCUCUGGUUAAUACCUAGGGCUCAUGACGGUACUGUGAGAAUAAGCACCGGCUAACUACGUGCCAGCCGCCGCGGUAA
rnacentral:rRNA from 1 species